rnacentral:rRNA from 1 species
CCUACUGGAGACAUCAUUGAGGAGUCUUGGACAAUGGACGAGAGUCUGAACCAUCCCCUGCCCUUUCCUUCUUCCUUCCCUCUUUUUUUUCCCCUUCUUUUCUCUUUUCCUCCAAUGUUCCACGUGUGGGAUUUUGUAUGUACCAUAUGAAUACGGAUCGGCUAACUCCGUGCCAGCAGCCGCGGUAAUACGGAGGAUCCGAGCGUUAUCCGGAUUUAUUGGGUUUAAAGGGAGCGUAGGUGGAUUGUUAAGUCAGUUGUGAAAGUUUGCGGCUCAACCGUAAAAUUGCAGUUGAAACUGGCAGUCGUGAGUACAGUAGAGGUGGGCGGAAUUCGUGGUGUAGCGGUGAAAUGCUUAGAUAUCACGAAGAACUCCGAUUGCGAAGGCAGCUCACUGGACUGCAACUGACACUGAGGCUCGAAAGUGUGGGUAUCAAACAGGAUUAGAUACCCUUGUAGUC